ensembl:ncRNA F26A10.11 ncRNA
UGUUGAAACACUGUUCAGUUGUGAGCCUAGGUCUAAAUCGGUAUAUCUGAAUUUCAUUUUUUCUGGUAAGUUCAGUGAUUGUUUGUUUUAUUUUGUCCGGUACCAGGUCGCGACCUCAUUGCUACCAGUUGAUGGCCAUAAAGGUGCUUUCAUGAACAGGUGGUUAAAUUUUGAAUGUGAAAAGUGCAUACCAAGUGAAAAGUGGACAU